rnacentral:piRNA from 1 species
UCGGGGCUAAGUUUUAUAUAGGGUUGGC